CCUACGGGAGGCAGCAGUGAGGAAUAUUGGUCAAUGGGCUUAAGCCUGAACCAGCCAAGUCGCGUGAGGGAAGACUGCCCUAUGGGUUGUAAACCUCUUUUGUCAGGGAGCAAUUGGCGCUACGUGUAGCGUUAUCGAGAGUACCUGAAGAAAAAGCAUCGGCUAACUCCGUGCCAGCAGCCGCGGUAAUACGGAGGAUGCGAGCGUUAUCCGGAUUUAUUGGGUUUAAAGGGUGCGUAGGCGGAAUGCCAAGUCAGCGGUAAAAUCGCGGGGCGCAACCGCGCUCCGCCGUUGAAACUGGCGUGCUUGAGUGGGCGUGAAGUAUGCGGAAUGCGUGGUGUAGCGGUGAAAUGCAUAGAUAUCACGCAGAACUCCGAUUGCGAAGGCAGCAUACCGGCGCCCAACUGACGCUGAAGCACGAAAGCGUGGGUAUCGAACAGGAUUAGAUACCCUUGUAGUC
rnacentral:rRNA from 1 species